AGUGCUAAGGCCUGUUAGCAGCUGUUCUCUCUUCCCUUCCAAAUCACUUACAUGGAGAAAUCGGGUUGGGAGGGGCGAUCCGUUUUUCCUCCCCUGACUCGUUCCUCUGCCUGCAGUGAUUCUUUUGCUGUGGGUUAUGACCAAGGUACCUUCAGUGUUUACACUGAGGGCGCCAUCAAAGAGCUUGGGGGAUAAGAAACAGGCUGAACUGGCUUCGAGAGAAGGAAACACUGAUACAUUCUCACCAAGCGCUUUCUCACCUCACAAGCACCUAGAAGGCACAACUCAGCGCUGCCUCCAGGGCUGCCAGCCCUUGCCAGGGUCUGAUCUUGGUGCCAGGAGGAGGAGCUCACUCUUACCAUCAGAGACUUUGCUUCUUUAUAUGCUUCUGAAUACUCACUUCCCAACCUCCAUUUAAAAUGGGAUAACCUAGAACACAGUUACUCCACGUUACAGCCAAGUGACGGAGAAAGGCAGAGGCAGCGGGGGAACGCGGGCUCAGUGUGCCUUGUCCCAGCCAAGUGACGGAGAAAGGCAGAGGCAGCGGGGGAACGCGGGCUCAGUGUGCCUUGUCCCAGCCAAGUGACGGAGAAAGGCAGAGGCAGCGGGGGAACGCGGGCUCAGUGUGCCUUGUCCCAGCCAAGUGACGGAGAAAGGCAGAGGCAGCGGGGGAACGCGGGCUCAGUGUGCCUUGUCCCAGCCAAGUGACGGAGAAAGGCAGAGGCAGCGGGGGAACGCGGGCUCAGUGGGCCUUGUCCCAGGCACGGAUUUUCUACCGGGCAUUUGCGGUGCUCUGGUGUUUGAGCCCUCAGGACCUAAAGGGCUGACCCUGCCAGUGCCCAGGAGCACCUCACUCACUGCUUUGGAACUGCAGACGCUGCUUAUCCUGGAAAUGCACAGAGCAGUGUGGACGUUUGAAAAACGUCGUGCUGUGCUUUUCAGCAAGCUGUAGAAAUUGUAGUGUAAAAGGACAAAAAAAAUCUCGGGACCCCAAACUCACUAAGCCAAAGGGAAGAGCCAAGCUUCGGAAGUGAGCCUCGCAAAACUGCUUCUGCUGUCUGUUCCUCCGAGGAUCAAAGCCCAGUCUCUCCCGGGGGCUCCUCCACAAUUUGUUCACAAGGAAAUUCCUUGAGGGCCCCAAGAUCUUUACCCUAAAACAGUUCUGUUGAAUUUCACCCUGACAGUGUAAACUGCCAGCUUUUCUUCACAGGUACAGGACAAAGGCGGGAUCAGCUCUGCCCACCUGAGACGUCCGUCUGCUAGCACAGAUUCACAGAGUGAGGCAGGCGUAAGUGACUAUCCCUUUGCUGCCUCCUUUCACAUGUAAAAUGUGGAUUCAGUGAAUGCUGAUCAAGGCCUCCAAACAAUACAGCCACUGCCCCUUUUUUCUAUCCCCCCCAACUCCUUUUUCCUUUUCCCCUACUGCCUACGCUUUCCCCUUUAGAUAGGGAAGUCCCCCAACCCUCUCUGGACAAAGCAGAGAUCACAGAUGUUCCUGGGGCUUUGUGUUCCUUUUUCAGGCACAUCCUCAAUCUUGGCAAAAUAAACCUCUACCUUGAUUGAGAGCUGUCUCAGAUGCUUUUUGCUCAUGGUGGGUUACAACUGCGUAUGGGCUGCCCACCAGUGCUUCAUGUCCGAUACAUCAGCGGACUUGCAGCAAGAUUGCCCAAGAAGGUCAAGGGCCUUUGCCCUGGCCUCAGGGGCACCUGCAAUGUUCUGCAUUUUUCCAGGAGUUGGGCGGGAAUAACUCGGACAGCCCCGUGUGGGCCUGGCCUGGUGCCGUGCCAGCCGCGCGCCUCCUGCCGUCUGCCUUAGACUCCUCAGAGUCGUUGCUUUGCUUCUGUCCGGGCUGUCCCACCGAUUCGGAGCUCACAGCAGCCCAGGUGCCACAGCUCUGCCUUAGGAGCGUUGAUGCAAAGAGUCAAACUCUGUAAAAUAUUGGGAGAGAUCUAUUCUGAGCUGAAUGUGAGUGACCACGGCUGGUGACACAGCCCAGGAGGUCCUGAGAACAGGUGCUCAAGGUGAUCAGGGCAAAGCUUGGCUUGUAUACAUUUUAGGGAGACGGAGGCAUCAGUCAGCACCUGUGAGGUAUACAUGGGUUCAAUCCGGAAAGGUGGGACAACUCAAAGGGCAGGGAAGGCUUUCGGGUCAUAAGCGGAUUCAAAGACUCUCUGAUAGGCAAUUGGCUGAAAGAGUUUAUCCAAAGGCUCCUAGAAGGCAGUGUCCGGGGAGGACGAGGGGCUGUGGAGACCAAGGUUCUUAUCACGCAGAGGCAGCCUCCAGGUAGCAGCUUCAGAAUCGAUGGUUAGUGUUUCUAUCAGACUUAAAAGGUGCCAGACUCUUCGUAGAGUCUCUCCUGGAUCAGGAAAAGGACCUGGAAUGGGAAGGGGCUUCUCUAGAGAACGGAGACUUCCCCCACAAGACACAGCUUUGCAGGGACAUUUUAAAAUAUGUCAAAGAGGCUGGGCAUGGUGGCUGACACCUGUAAUCCCGGCACUUUUGUAAUCCAAGCCCACAGCGGCGGCCUGCUUGAGCUCAGGAGUUCAAGAGCAGCCUGGACAACAUGGGGAAACCUGUCUCUACCAAAAAUACAAAAACUUAGCUGGCUGUGGUGGCGUGCAUCUGUGGUCUCAGCUACUUGGGAGGCUGAGGUGGGAGAAUUGCUUGAACCCAGGAGGCGGAGGUUGCAGUGAGCCAAGAUCACACCACUGCAUCCAGCCUGGGUGACAGAGGGAGACUUUGUCUCAAAAAAUAAACAUACAAAUAAAUAGUAAUAAUAACAUCUGUUAAAGAAAUAUGUUUUGGGGUAAAAUACUUUGAUUUCCUUCCUUUCUGAGGCUGCGUAACGCCCCAUUGUGUGUGUGAACCCCAGCGUGCUAAUCCAUCGGUCCACCCAGGAACCCUGGGCUGCUCCCACCCCUGGUUGUUGUACACAGGGCUGCCGUGAACACGGGUGGACAGAUAUCAUUUGCGUCUCUGCUUUCACUUCUUUUGGGUCUAUGCCCAGAAGAGGAACUGAUGAGUCAAACUGUCAUUCUACAUUUAACUUUCUGAGAAGCAGCCACCCGGUCUUAUGCACCGCCCUGCAGCCUGUGUGCACAACCCUGAGGCCGCUUCUCCAUGAACACUAAGAAGCUUAAGGCCGUCGGGAACAUGCGGUGCUCAGCCUGGGUGUUUACUUGUCUCAGUUGAGUGAGGAUAAC
ensembl:lncRNA